AGAACCAAAGAGACAAUUGCCCAGAGAGAACAGGGAAGCCGGACAAUAUUCAAUCCCACGGGCACCUACCACAGGGACAGUGACCUGCAGCUGGAGCGCAUCAACGUGUACUAUAAUGAGGCCACCGGCAGCAAGUACGUGCCCCGCGCAGUCCUCGUGGAUCUGGAGCCCAGCACCAUGGGCUCCAUGCACUCUGGGCCCUUCCGGCAGAUCUUCCGGCCAGACAACUUCGUUUUCGGUCAGAGUGGUGCUGGGAACAACUGGGCCAAGGGGCAUGACACAGAAGGAGCAGAGCUGGUGGACUCGGUGCUGGACAUUGUGUGGAAGGAAGCUGAGAGCUGUGACUGCCUGCAGGGUUUCCAGCUGACCCACUCCUUGGGUGGGGGGACUGGGUCUGAGAUGGGUACCCUCCUUAUCAGCAAGAUCUGGGAGGAGUGCCCAGACAGAAUCAUGAGCACGUUCAGUGUGGUGCCCUCCCCCAAGGUGUCAGACACUCUGGUGGAGCCCUACAAUGCCACCCUCUCAGUCCACCAGCUCGUAGAGAACACAGAUGAGACCUACUGCAUCAAUAAUGAAGCUCUCUAUGACAUUUGUUUCAGAACCCUCAAGCUGACAAUGCCCACCUACAGGGACCUGAACCACCUGGUGUCUGCCACCAUGAGUUGGGUCACCACCUGCCUUAGCUUCCCAGGCCAGCUCAAUGCUGACCUGUGCAAGCUGGCCAUGAACAUGGUCCCAUUCUCCCACCUGCACUUCAUGCCUGGCUUUGCCCCGCUGACCAGCCAGGGCAGCCAGCAGUACUGGGCCCUGACAGUACCCGAGCUUACCCUGCAGAUGUUUGAUGCCAAGAACAUGAUGGUGGCCUGUGACCCCCGCCAUGGCCGCUACCAGAUGGUGGCCGCCACCUGAUGGUGGCCGCCGUGUUCAGGGACUGCAUGUCCAUGAAGGAGGUGACGAGCAAAUGCUUAAUGUCCAAAAUAAGAAUAGCAGCUACUUUGUCGAGUGGAUCCCCAGCAACGUGAAAAGGCUGACUGUGGUAUCCCGCCCUGGGGGCUAAAAAUUUCCGCCACCUUCAUCCGCAACAGCACAGCCAUCCAGAAGCUGUUCAAGCGCAUCUCGGAGCAGUUCACCGCCAUGUUCCAGUGCAAGGCCUUCCUGCACUGAUACAUGGGCACAGGCAUGAACGAGAUGGGAGUUCACCAAGGCUGAGAGCAACAUGGACGACCUGGUGUCCGAGUACCAGCAGUACCAGGACACCAUGGCCGAGGAGGAGGCUUGAGGAGGAGGUGGCCUAUAGCCUCCAGUCACCAGGAAAGCAGGGAAGCGGUGUGAACUCUUUAUUCACUCCCAGCCUGUCCUCUGGCCUGUCCCACUGCGUGUGCACCUGCUGUUUUCCCUUUCAUACUCCAUGCUGUACAGACACCA